UCCAAUUAGCAUAGACUUCCUCAUCCAUCUGAUCCAGAACCUCCAAUACACACUCACACACCUGCAACACCUGCUGUGCCUCAGGACUGUCUAACGGCCUAACACAUACAGAAUGCGGCAGACACUGUCAAAAAUGGCACAAGAAGCAACAUUUUGUGUAUGUCUUAUAAUUAUGUUGAGGUUACCAGCAACGGCGGGCAUGUUUUUACCAAGGACGGGGUAUCCGCUCCUCAUCUGCACCGAAACACAAACAAACAACAGCACAAAAGUCUACCCCCAGCAACUCUUCAUAAACCCUCAUUUGAAAACCACUGCUUCAUUCUCUAAUUAUUAGUCACACAAACCUUCUCCCUCUGGGUGUCCAGGAUGCGCUGACAGAGAUUGACCUCCUCCUGGAACAUGACCAGCAGCUGAGAGUAGUUUGGAGCAAAAAGCUGGUGAACCCUCGGCCUCUCCAACAAAGUACCAAACAUCUGCAGGAGCUACAAACACAGGCUUUCAAUGUUAGAGGCUUAGAGACAGGAUUUUCGCACACACUGAAUUAAAU